rnacentral:rRNA from 1 species
GGUAACAGGCCGCUGUGAUCCCUUCGGGGUGAACUUGGCGCUGACGAGUGGCGGACGGGUGAGUAAUGCUUGGGAAUUUGCCUAGUAGUGGGGGACAACACGGGGAAACUCGUGCUAAUACCGCAUACGCCCUACGGGGGAAAGCGGGGGAUCUUCGGACCUCGCGCUAUUAGAUGAGCCCAAGUCCGAUUAGCUUGUUGGUGAGGUAAAGGCUCACCAAGGCGACGAUCGGUAGCUGGUCUGAGAGGACGAUCAGCCACACUGGGACUGAGACACGGCCCAGACUCCUACGGGAGGCAGCAGUGGGGAAUAUUGCACAAUGGGCGCAAGCCUGAUGCAGCAAUGCCGCGUGUGUGAAGAAGGCCUGCGGGUUGUAAAGCACUUUCAGUAGAGAAGAAAAGCUCGGGGUUAAUACCCGCGAGUCUUGACAUUAACUACAGAAGAAGCACCGGCUAACUCCGUGCCAGCAGCCGCGGUAAUACGGAGGGUGCGAGCGUUAAUCGGAAUUACUGGGCGUAAAGCGCGCGUAGGCGGCUAGGUCAGUCGGAUGUGAAAGCCCCGGGCUUAACCUGGGAAUUGCAUUCGAUACUGCUUGGCUAGAGUAUGGUAGAGGGAAGCGGAAUUCCGGGUGUAGCGGUGAAAUGCGUAGAUAUCCGGAGGAACACCAGUGGCGAAGGCGGCUUCCUGGACCAAUACUGACGCUGAGGUGCGAAAGCGUGGGGAGCAAGCAGAUUAGAUACCCUGGUAGUCCACGCCCUAAACGAUGAGAACUAGAUAUCGGGGGGAUCUGCCCUUCGGUGU